rnacentral:rRNA from 1 species
AUUGAACGCUGGCGGCAGGCUUAACACAUGCAAGUCGAACGGAACCUUCGGGUUUAGUGGCGAACGGGUGAGUAAUACCUAGGAAUCUGCCUAUUAGUGGGGGAUAACGGCUCGAAAGGGUCGCUAAUACCGCAUACGUCCUACGGGAGAAAGAGGGGGAUCUUCGGACCUCUUGCUAAUAGAUGAGCCUAGGCCGGAUUAGCUAGUUGGUAGGGUAAAGGCCUACCAAGGCGACGAUCCGUAGCUGGUCUGAGAGGAUGAUCAGCCACACUGGAACUGAGACACGGUCCAGACUCCUACGGGAGGCAGCAGUGGGGAAUAUUGCGCAAUGGGCGAAAGCCUGACGCAGCCAUGCCGCGUGUGUGAAGAAGGCCCUUGGGUUGUAAAGCACUUUCAAUUGGAGGAAAGGUUAGCGUGUUAAUAGCACGUAGCUGUGACGUUACCUUUAGUAAGAAGCACCGGCUAACUCCGUGCCAGCAGCCGCG